GGGUGCUCUUGGCUUAUUUGCCAUGAGUGACUGACUUUUAUGUUUGCUUGUGGCAGAUAAACAAAAGCCCCGUUAUCCGGUUACUGUUAGAGCAGUAACUUUCAUUUAACGAGGCCUUAGUAAUGACUUGCAAACUCAUUGUAGAGCCUCUUUACUGUGGAGGCAACAAAAUGCCGAAAAA
rnacentral:antisense_RNA from 1 species